rnacentral:rRNA from 1 species
GACGAAGGGGGCUAGCGUUGUUCGGAAUUACUGGGCGUAAAGCGUGCGCAGGCGGCUAUGCAAGACAGAUGUGAAAUCCCCGGGCUCAACCUGGGAACUGCAUUUGUGACUGCAUGCUAGAGUGCGGCAGAGGGGGAUGGAAUUCCGCGUGUAGCAGUGAAAUGCGUAGAUAUGCGGAGGAACACCGAUGGCGAAGGCAAUCCCCUGGGCCUGCACUGACGCUCAUGCACGAAAGCGUGGGGAGCAAACAGG